rnacentral:rRNA from 1 species
UACGGGAGGCAGCAGUGGGGAAUAUUGCACAAUGGGGGAAACCCUGAUGCAGCCAUGCCGCGUGUGUGAAGAAGGCCUUCGGGUUGUAAAGCACUUUCAGUAGGGAGGAAAGGUAGCAGCUUAAUACGGUUCUUCUGUGACGUUACCUACAGAAGAAGGACCGGCUAACUCCGUGCCAGCAGCCGCGGUAAUACGGAGGGUCCGAGCGUUAAUCGGAAUUACUGGGCGUAAAGCGUGCGCAGGCGGUUUGUUAAGCGAGAUGUGAAAGCCCCGGGCUCAACCUGGGAAAUGCAUUUUGAACUGGCGAACUAGAGUCUUGUAGAGGGGGGUAGAAUUCCAGGUGUAGCGGUGAAAUGCGUAGAGAUCUGGAGGAAUACCGGUGGCGAAGGCGGCCCCCUGGACAAAGAGUGACGCUCAGGCACGAAAGUUUGGGGAGCAAACAGGA